rnacentral:rRNA from 1 species
GACGAACGCUGGCGGCGUGCUUAACACAUGCAAGUCGAACGGAGUGGCGAACGGGUGAGUAACAUGUGGGUGAUCUGCCUUGCACUUCGGGAUAAGCUUGGGAAACUGGGUCUAAUACCCGAUAGUGCAAGAUGAGCUCGCGGCCUAUCAGCUUGUUGGUGGGGUAAUGGCCGACCAAGGCGUCGACGGGUAGCCGGCCUGAGAGGGUGUACGGCCACAUUAGGACUGAGAUACGGCCCAGAGUCGUACGGGGGGCAACGGUGGGGAGUAUUGCACAGUGAGCGGAAGCCUGAUGAAGAGACGCCGCGUGGGGAAUGAAGGCCUUGGGGUUGUAAACUCCUUUAGACAGGGACGCGGUACCUGUAUAAGAAGCACCGGCUAACUACGUGCCAGCAGCCGCGGUAAUUC